GAAGCUUGCUUCUCCUGAUGGUUAGCGGCGGCACGGGUGAGUAACACGUAGGCAACCUGCCCUCAAGCUUGGGACAACUACCGGAAACGGUAGCUAAUACCGAAUAGUUGUUUUCUUCUCCUGAAGAAAACUGGAAAGACGGAGCAAUCUGUCACUUGGGGAUGGGCCUGCGGCGCAUUAGCUAGUUGGUGGGGUAACGGCUCACCAAGGCGACGAUGCGUAGCCGACCUGAGAGGGUGAUCGGCCACACUGGGACUGAGACACGGCCCAGACUCCUACGGGAGGCAGCAGUAGGGAAUCUUCCGCAAUGGGCGAAAGCCUGACGGAGCAAUGCCGCGUGAGUGAUGAAGGUUUUCGGAUCGUAAAGCUCUGUUGCCAGGGAAGAACGCUUGGGAGAGUAACUGCUCUCAAGGUGACGGUACCUGAGAAGAAAGCCCCGGCUAACUACGUGCCAGCAGCCGCGGUAAUACGUAGGGGGCAAGCGUUGUCCGGAAUUAUUGGGCGUAAAGCGCGCGCAGGCGGUCAUUUAAGUCUGGUGUUUAAUCCCGGGGCUCAACCCCGGAUCGCACUGGAAACUGGGUGACUUGAGUGCAGAAGAGGAGAGUGGAAUUCCACGUGUAGCGGUGAAAUGCGUAGAUAUGUGGAGGAACACCAGUGGCGAAGGCGACUCUCUGGGCUGUAACUGACGCUGAGGCGCGAAAGCGUG
rnacentral:rRNA from 1 species